rnacentral:rRNA from 1 species
AUGGAGACCUCCCUGCGGCUGCGCGGCGCCGACAACACAACCGGGCAGCAGCUGGGCCUCCGCAUCCACGCCAAGCAGAAGCUGCCCCUCGCCUACAACGCACUCCUCCAGGCUCACGCGGAGAUCGACACCGCCACCCGGAAGCCCAGCCUACUCGCCGUCCUCGCAAGGCACUUCUUCCCACAGCUGUCGGCCAAUGUUGGAGCCGGAGUCCAGCUGGAGAGGGGCAACAUCUUCAGGUACACCCUCCGGGGGAAGAAAGCCGUCUCCUUCACCGACGACGGCCUCCUCGGCCUCAACAUCAAGGGCCGCCUCCUCGCCGACAAGAACUUCAAGCCGAGGAGGAAGAGCGGCGCCAUCGAGCUCGCCUGGACCAUACUCGACUUCAGAAAGGGCCAGGACGUCAGGAUGAAGGCCGGCUACGAGCUAUACCGCAAGAUGCCUUAUUUCCAGCUGAGGGAGAACAACUGGACGCUUAAUGGUUACAUGGAUGGAAAAUGGGAUGUCAGAUUCGAUAUGUGA